UAGGGAAUCUUCGGCAAUGGGGGGAACCCUGACCGAGCAACGCCGCGUGAGUGAAGAAGGUUUUCGGAUCGUAAAGCUCUGUUGUUAAGGAAGAACGAGUGUGAGAAUGGAAAGUUCAUGCUGUGACGGUACUUAACCAGAUAGGGACGGCUAACUACGUGCCAGCAGCCGCGGUAAUACGUAGGUGGCAAGCGUUGUCCGGACUUAUUGGGCGUAAAGCGAGCGCAGGCGGUCAAUUAAGUCUGAUGUGAAAGCGCACGGCUCAACCGAGGAGAGUCAUUGUAAACUGGAAAGCUUGAGUGCAGAAGAGGAAGGGGGAAUUCCAUGUGUAGCGGUGAAAUGCGCAGAGAUAUGGAGGAACACCAGUGGCGAAGGCGACUUUCUGGACUGUAACUGACGCUGAUGUGCGAAAGCGUGGGGAUCAAACAGG
rnacentral:rRNA from 1 species